ensembl:ncRNA C18D1.18 ncRNA
UUUCUUGACAAGAGAGAAAAGAAAUUCAAUUCAUUCACGCAUCAAUGAGUGAUGUGAAGUCUCUUCUGAAGUUUGGCACACCGCCAUUCUAAACAAAAAGCAGAAAUGAAAGUAAAUGGGUUUUACAAAAUUGAAUCAGAGUCAGUUUGG